rnacentral:rRNA from 1 species
UACGUAGGGUGCGAGCGUUGUCCGGAUUUAUUGGGCGUAAAGAGCUCGUAGGCGGUUUGUCGCGUCGGCCGUGAAAUCUCCACGCUUAACGUGGAGCGUGCGGUCGAUACGGGCAGACUUGAGUUCGGUAGGGGAGACUGGAAUUCCUGGUGUAGCGGUGAAAUGCGCAGAUAUCAGGAGGAACACCGAUGGCGAAGGCAGCUCGCUGGGACGGUACUGACGCUGAGGCGCGAAAGCGUGGGGAGCGAACAGG